rnacentral:rRNA from 1 species
CACGUAGGGCGCAAGCGUUGUCCGGAAUUAUUGGGCGUAAAGAGCUCGUAGGCGGUCUGUUGCGUCCGCUGUGAAAACUCGGGGCUUAACCCCGAGCCUGCAGUGGAUACGGGCAGACUAGAGGUAGGUAGGGGAGAAUGGAAUUCCCGGUGUAGCGGUGAAAUGCGCAGAUAUCGGGAGGAACACCGGUGGCGAAGGCGGUUCUCUGGGCCUUACCUGACGCUGAGGAGCGAAAGCGUGGGGAGCGAACAGGAUUGAGAAACCCCA